CCACACGUUGAAGUUCACUUCAAGAACAGCGACUGCAUGUUCAAAAAAAAUGAACACAACUGAAGGGUCACCAGUCACAAGUUAACGGGACCCUGACCAAGACGUUGGCGCCUAAACGCGUGCUGGAUGAACAGGGCCCUUCAAUCCGAGACCGAGGAAUACCACCAUGUCAACAGAUCGGAAUCAGAAAUCUGAGCUGGGGUUUGGAGAACGCGCCCAGGGACGGGCUCAUCGCCAAUGUUUUCCAUGUUGUUGUUUUUUUUUUUUUUUGUUUUUUUUACUAGAUAAGCUGGGUUUUUUGCAGUAACAGUGGUGCUCGUUGCCUAUUUAGCAAUCUGGGACAAAUUGUACAAUUGAGAAACAAUGUACGAUUUCGC
ensembl:lncRNA